GUGACCAGGGAGAGCUGGAAACCCUCAGGAUACAUCCAGGGUGACCAGGAGAGCUGGAAACCUCCAGGAUACAUCCAGAGUGACCAGGGAGAGCUGGAAACCCUCAGGAUACAUCCAGAGUGACCAGGGAGAGCUGGAAACCUCCAGGAUAGCUGUGUGUCCAUGCUGGAACAGCCUUGGUUCCCACAGGCUGCACAUCCAGGGCCCAGCACUGUGGGAACACCUCUGUGGGGUGCUGGGAUGGCAUUUGGGGUUUGCCUGUGCCCCUCCCCUCCUUCAGGCACUGUCACCUUUUCCCCAAGGGGACAACAGUGGAUCCCAACAGCUCCUUGUGUCUGUGGUGAUGUCUGGCUCCGUGGUGUCCUUGUUAAAGGUGGUGCUGGUGCUGUCCAUGGGGAUCUGUCUGUCCUGUCUGUGUGGAGCUCUCCUGUGUGGCUUUCUGGAGAAGGUGGAAUUGCCUCUCCUCUCUCCCACAGGGUGCAAAGCCAGGCCAGGUCUGUCCUGUCCUUGGGGGCAGGGGCUGAAUUCCCUUCCCUUCCCUUCCCUUCCCUUCCCUUCCCUUCCCUUCCCUUCCCUUCCCUUCCCUUCCCUUCCCUUCCCUUCCCUUCCCUUCCCUUCCCUUCCCUUCCCUUCCCUUCCCUGUCACAGCCACCCGUGCUGGGGACAGAGCAGCCCCGGUGCUGGCAUGUGACAAUCCAGGGGGUGAAGGGAAAAAUCCAGAGUGGGGCAAGAGGAGGCUGGGAAGGGGCAGAAGCCAGGAGUGCUCCCUGUCUGGGUGGUGAGGGAAAGCCAGGGCUGGGUCCAGGCUUUGCCACUGGGUGCUGGCACUCAGGGGUGUGCCCAGGCAGUGCCAAUCCCAGGUAAUGGCAUUCCUGAGCAGUGCCAAUCCAGGACAGUGGAAUUCCCAGGUAAUGGCAUUCCCAGGGGGCAGUGCCAUUCCCAGGCAGUGGCAUUCCACGAUAAUGGCAUUCCCGGGCAGUGCCAUUCCCAGGCACUCUCCUGGGGGCAGCAGCAUCCCCGGGAGGUUUCUCCACCCUUGGAGGCCGAGCUCUGGCUGUGCUGCUGCUCCAGACCAGGCUGAGGAGCUGCUGGUGCCCUCCAGCAGCCAAGGGACAGCUCCUGGAUCCUCUGGGGAAGCUCUUCAAUCCCUUUGGAGCCAUCCUGGCACACAGGGACACUGAGAGCAGCCUGGCACAGCCGAGGGCAGGCACUGAGGCCUCUGACAAACCAUGGCAGUUUGUCUCCAAUCUUUGCAGGAAAACCAAGCCUCGGGAGUGUCCAGCCCAGCCAGCCCUGCCUGGGCCAGGGAGAGCUGUGGGGGCAGGAGGAUGAGGAGAAAAGGGCUGGAGAAGGGUCCUUGGGAUCUCUGGUCCCUUCCAGGCCAGCUCCACCUGCACCCCAGCUGGCUCCAGGUGCUGUCCUGGCCCCUUCUGGGCAUCUCCAGGGAUAUCCCAGCUCUGAGGGCCCUGCCUGGCUCUUCCCCCACGGGGGACAUGGGGACUCUUGGCAGGGACAGAGUGCUGCAUUUAUUUCCCUCCUCCUGCCUGGAAGUGCCUGGGCUGGGCAAAAUUCCACAUUGGAUGGAAAAGUGCUGGCCCAGGAAGGGAGGGUGAGGAGCCCUGAGCCCCAGGGCCCCUGACACUGGCAGCUGAGGUUGCAGGAUGGGGACAUCUCCCCUUUCUCCCAUUUUUAUUUAUAAACAGGUAUUUUCCUGGACAGCUGGAGGCUGGAAAUGAUUUCAUUCCUUUCCUCUUUAUAUUUGGCUUUCAACAAAAUAAACAACACUGACUUGCUACCUAC